rnacentral:rRNA from 1 species
UUUGCUUAAUUGCACCACAUGUGUUUUUUUAUUGAUUAAAACUUUGCUUUGGCGGCAGGAGUAAAAUUCUACCGCCAGAGGUUAUAACUAAACCAAACUUUUUAUUUUACAGUCAAACUUGAUUUAUUAUUAUAAAAUAGUCAAAACUUUCAACAACGGAUCUCUUGGUUCUCGCAUCGAUGAAGAACGCAGCGAAAUGCGAUACGUAAUAUGAAUUGCAGAUAUUCGUGAAUCAUCGAAUCUUUGAACGCACAUUGCGCCCUUUGGUAUUCCAAAGGGCAUGCCUGUUUGAGCGUCAUUUCUCCCUCAAACCCUUGGGUUUGGUGUUGAGCAAUACGCUAGGUUUGUUUGAAAGAUGUUACGUGGAAACUUUCUUAAGCGACUUAGGUUUAUCCAAAAAACGCUUGCUAUUAGUGGCCACAACAACUUUUUUUAAACUUUUGACCUCAAAUCAGGUAGGACUACCC